CCUUAUGAGACAGCAUGGAAUUGCAAGAGAAGCUGGGAUGUCAGUGAAGGGCAGUCAACUACAGUCUUGGUGUGUGGAGGAGCAGGUCCUGUUCUCCCUGUUGUUGCUCCCACAUAGGCGGACUCUGUAAUUGAUUAUGUGUGGGUAGGGCCCUAUUGAAAUUCAGGAGAUUCUGCAAUAGUGCAGGGUUCUUUCUGUGAAAGUUCAGUUGCAAGAUCAGGACUCUACUGUGACUCCUUACUGUGCAUUCUGUCAGUGUAUCAUUGAUAGUGCUGGAACCUGCCUUUUGGGAUAAUUACCAAAUACUAUAUUCCUCAAAACUUCUUAAUGGCACUGAGGCUUUGUGGAUAAUUGGUCACAUGAUGAGAAAAUUCAGCUCCACUUGUGGAAGGACAAGAAAAAAAUUAAUUUACAGUGAAAAAGAACAGGUUACGUAUUUGGAAAAUGCUUCUAACUACAAGGACAGACUGGAACCAGACUAUCAGGUGAUGCUGGAGCAUAUUCCUCGCUGGAAAUUUCAAACAGAUUACACAAAAAGUUUCUGUCAUCCAGAUGCUCUUACAUUCAUCUUCUUUCAUAAUGGUUGGCUCCACUCAAUAAAUAAUCUGGAAUAUUAAGAAGUCAUUUGAAAAAUAAAUUUGGAAUGUGGAGAUGAAAUUGGAUAGUC
rnacentral:lncRNA from 14 species